UUGUUUUCGGAACCGUCAGCAGAUGUGGCUUCUCUUAGCUGAAUAAUCCGUUAAGGGAAUGAUAAUUUUUAAAAAGGACCUCGGCCUCACCCCGCGAGAACAGUGAAGGAGAUCAGAGCUUGAUCUGCCUUUGGUUUGGACUGGCUGAAACACUGCGGACUGCAACCAAUGUCUUUUAAAGGAGAACAAAAAGAUGAGGCUCUCGUGCGGACUCGGGACAAAGCGUCUUGGGCUGGGUGACAAGGGACGCGCGGAACUCUGACUCCCGGAUUGGAGAGAUCAACACAGCCCAAGGGCACCCCGCAGGGCUUGCGGACCUCUGAGGCGAAAGGACCGCAGCAGGAGAGUUCCGGAAGGCUGAUUCCCACAGAUCCUGGUGAGCGGCUGCUGCAGCUCAACCCUGCGGCACGCCCGGCUAGGCUGCACCAGGACUCUACACUCGAGGAAAAAGCUUGGAAACGAAAGGAUGCGGGAGAACAAAGAGCCUUUGGAGGACGUGGCUGUUAUCUCAUUGUCUGUGACUGGGGGAGCUGCGGUAGGAAGGAUGCGGUGGUCCUUAGCUCAUCGCUUUCCCCCACCCCCCACCCUCCCUGCUGUCAGUGCGCACGCACA